rnacentral:rRNA from 1 species
GACGAACGCUGGCGGCGUGCCUAAUACAUGCAAGUCGAGCGAGCUUGCCUAGAUGAUUUUAGUGCUUGCACUAAAUGAAACUAGAUACAAGCGAGCGGCGGACGGGUGAGUAACACGUGGGUAACCUGCCCAAGAGACUGGGAUAACACCUGGAAACAGAUGCUAAUACCGGAUAACAACACUAGACGCAUGUCUAGAGUUUGAAAGAUGGUUCUGCUAUCACUCUUGGAUGGACCUGCGGUGCAUUAGCUAGUUGGUAAGGUAACGGCUUACCAAGGCAAUGAUGCAUAGCCGAGUUGAGAGACUGAUCGGCCACAUUGGGACUGAGACACGGCCCAAACUCCUACGGGAGGCAGCAGUAGGGAAUCUUCCACAAUGGACGAAAGUCUGAUGGAGCAACGCCGCGUGAGUGAAGAAGGGUUUCGGCUCGUAAAGCUCUGUUGGUAGUGAAGAAAGAUAGAGGUAGUAACUGGCCUUUAUUUGACGGUAAUUACUUAGAAAGUCACGGCUAACUACGUGCCAGCCGCCGCCGUAACAC